AUACGGAGGGUGCAAGCGUUACUCGGAAUCACUGGGCGUAAAGCGCGCGCAGGCGGGCUGAUAAGUUGGAUGUGAAAGCCUACGGCUCAACCGUAGAACUGCAUCCAAAACUGUCAGUCUAGAGUCUGGGAGGGGAAGAUGGAAUUAGUUGUGUAGGGGUAAAAUCCGUAGAGAUAACUAGGAAUACCAAAAGCGAAGGCAAUCUUCUGGAACACUACUGACGCUGAGGCGCGAAAGCGUGGGGAGCAAACAGGAUUAGAUACCCUAGUAGUCC
rnacentral:rRNA from 1 species